AUGUUUGACCUUCUAUUUAGAUACAGCUUUCAUCACAAUUUAGAUUCUUUAUUUUUAUUUUUUUUUUAGAUUUACACAAAUUCUUGUUAACAAUUUGUUAUUCUCAGCAUCGACAGCUGGGGAACCACCGGCAUUGUCGCCGGCCAGUCUUUGAUUCAUCUCGAGGAACAGGUUCGCGCGAAGAACAAAUCUGAGGCUUAUGAUGGAAGAUGAGAUGAGUCAUGAAAGCGCCGCGACUAACGAUGCUCCAUUCGGGUUUUGGUUUGACAUGAGGAAGGUGGAGAAAGUGGAGGCGCUUGGUGGAGGUGAGAGGCAAGAAAUAAAUGAAAGAAUUCACCUCGAAAUCAAUUGCAGGGAGUUUGACCAGGACGAAAGUGAUGGAGAUCUGAUCAUCACUUAUCCAAUGAUGUUAGUGGUAUUAGA
rnacentral:lncRNA from 1 species